GGGGCGGUCGUGCGCACGCGUGUGCGACCCUAUAUAAGGGGCGCGUAGCUGUGCGGUGCUCUGUCUGAGGAGAGCCCGGGGUGCUGAGCCCCGGUCCCGGUUGGGCUGUGCGGAGGUGAGCGCGGCAGAGCUGAGGGGGCCCUGCGAGGGACGGGCGUGGAAUAUUUACAUCUGGAACGCUUUGAAACGACGCGGUUGUGUAUCUUACGUGCAAUAAAGGUUUAAUUACUUG